rnacentral:tRNA from 1 species
GGUUGUAUAGUGUAGCGGUGAGCACGUGGGAUUUUGACUAAUAACCAAAUAUUCCCGAGUCCUGGGUUCGAACCCCAGUACGACCU